GACACGACAUCCAGUGUGAGAGCAUCUUGGAUUUGCUGUGAAGUGACGUGAAUGUCUGAUGUGAAUCGACCUAAAUAUAUCAGUAACUUUGAUUGUUUGUAUAGGUGCUCAAAUACAACUACGUUGGCGCUUUCGGUAAGGUAGACUUCAGCCGUAGAGCUAUAAUCUCUGCAAUGUUUACCUACAGAGGUACAAGCAUAUACGAAAGGUUGUUGAAGUGUAUAUGCAUUUCUGCAGUUGCGCUUCGUAGAUUGUACCAGAAAGUUGUACCAGAAAGUGCUGUCGUUUCUGGAGUAAUUAGAGGAUAUACUAUUGUAACACGCCUUUCGAGUUGUCCCUGCUUGGAGUUCUGAGUAAAGGACUAUUUUACCUACAGAAUAUUUUGCCUAAGAGAAUGCUACUAUGGUUAAAACCACACACCAGGGCUGCAUCUUCUUGCUGUAAUACUUACGUGAAAUGACACGGAAACGACUCAACUUCAUCUGAUGUGACUGUAAUUGGGUGUUAUCCUCUUGGUUGUUAUGAAGGUGCCUGGUGACAAGUAAACAUGAUCAUCUAUGUAACAUCCACCACAGUUGACAGGAAGUGCAACUCAAAGCAUUAGAUAACCUGUAAAAGCAGUUUCACUAUGGAUGCAGUAACUAAACACAAAGAAACACUGCUGUGAAUAUGAGGAUGUCAGAGAUCUAUAAGUAAUUUAAUAAUGAUCCAGUGUGAUUCAGAAAGUGACAGUGAUUGAAACAUUAGUAAAAUCUUUGUGCUACAGUAAUUAAACUUUGCAGUUAGAAUGUGAAUGGAAUGUUCAAGUUAAAAGUCAGUGUGAUGUGUUCAAUACAGCUGAUUUGCUCUCAACCAACUGACAUGCUAUACAGCUGUAAAUAUAUACAAGGUGUUUCACUAAAUGUGUUUGCCUCUGUAAGUUACGAAGUAAUAGGCAGUGGAAAUAUUUAUUGCAGUAGGUCACCAUAAGAAAUGUUACACUGUCUGCAGAGCU